UAUACAGCGUUGAAACACUGCUUCCCGUAUGAUCAACGAAGUUAAGAAACGUCGCGGCUGGUUCAGUACCGAGAUGGGUGACCUUUUUGGGAAUACCAGUUGCUGUAAG